UUUGCUAACAAUGGUAUUUUCACUUACCUUCAGCGGCAACUAAGGCCAUGUUGUCAAGUCAAAACAAUUUUUUUUUUUUUUUUUUGCGGUUCUUCCAGGAAAUAACUAGAGUGAGAGGAAGUUUGUCAGCAGAUGCUUUUGGAAUGUCAGGCUGGAGCUGUCGUCCCGAAGUUAGUGAGGGAGGGAGCGUGUGUUUGCACCCUGGGCUGAAAAGAUGUGCCAGGUGUUUGCGACAAGCUGUGAUGAGGACGGAGAUUACUUGGAAUCCAUCGUGGUCUCCUUCCUUGUUGAAAAGAGGAAGCUUCUGAAAACAAGCCCUUCGUUAAAGGAAGCCCCACUUAAUUCAAGAGGACUUGAAUGAAGUCCCUUUUAUGAAAACUGCUUGGCAAAAGCUAUUUGGCCCUGAUGUUGGGGACAUGGCUCGGGUCGUCAGUGCCGAAAAACGAGACGCACGAACACGGGGAGAUCUCGACAAGGCUCCUCCAAAAAGCACGCGCCGAGCAAAGGACCCCCCCCUGUGUAUCCCUAACGUGAUGUCCCUGUCCCCUUCCCAUGGGUCAGGUCAGGACGCACGUGCUUCCCAGUUGGCUCAUUGAAGCAAAUUGCUGCUGGGAAAAGAGGGCAAGAGGAAGGGGGUCGCAGGGGGGUUUUGGUUGAAACUGGAGCAAGAUGGAGUCACCAAGAUUUCCUUUGAUAGAAAAGAUAUUAUGUUACUUUCCACCCGGAGGAAGCCUGUGAAGCCAGAAACUAGAAUCAACACCUCCUAGAAGGUUCAGAUAGUUCAAACUUCAAGGCUCCCUUAAAGCAUAGCAGACUUUUUAACUGACUUUGAUUAGGAUGAAAUUUACCCAGGACUGCAAGCAGAGGUCUCAUGGAGAGCACGACACACCUGCAUGAGAGUGACUAAUCGUUAGUGAACAUCUGCAGGUGCCGGGAACAGGUGUCGACACCUCCUCAUAGGCUCCCUGCCUCUUGAGGCAGCUUUCGUUAUAAUCACCCCAUUUUGCUGAUGAGGGAACUAAUGCUUCCUUGGGUUAGUUAGGUGGGGGAGCUCAGUUCUGACCCCAGACAAUUCGAUCCACAGCCAGAGAGCUGAACUAACUUUGCUUUGAGUCUGCUCACCGGUCCCACGAAGAGAACGAGCCGAAGAGAACGAGCCGGAAAACGUCUCUGCCAGCAAUCACAGGGCGUGGCUCUGAUCUGCAUGUCCUCUCCAAAGUCUUAACAAUGAUUUUAGAAAGCCAACCCUUAUGUGCUCAGAAAGCUUUAGAGGUUUUAUUCUGGAAAAAUAAUGAGCUCAUCUCUAUGCUGUGUCACGAUCGAGCAGGGGCACUUUGCAGGCAAAGGUGGGCGGGCAGAGAUGAGCAGGCUGGAGUUUCCAGGGCGUCUUGCCUUUAAUGUACACCAGGUCCUUUUGCUUCACCCCAGGUCACUCUGCAAUCCUAGAACCAGUAGCAGCCUGACACAAAUGACUCAUUGUCCUUGGCCUCAAACAACAGCAAGGCUACUUAGAAUACAAAGCGCAUUUUAUGAAAGCAAGCUGCCACCACUGGCCACGGCCACUUGGUUCUUGCAGGAUCCACAGCCUGGCUGGACCAAGGGAAUGGCUUCUUGGCUGUUCAGUCUCACUUCAGAUGCUAUUUGAGGAUAAGGAGCAUUGACAACACAAGCUCAUUAGCCCUCAUGACUCAUUUGUGGUGACAUAGGGAUGUCACCGAUGUCACAAAGAGGUCCCACCCUUUUUAAAACCCUUUUCCCCUGAAGGCAAGUGGGUGCUCCAUCCUUGCCCUCACCCUGAGAAAGGGAUGCUUGUUUUAGUUGCAGAUCAGAGCGGGUGUGCGUGCAAGGGCAUGCAGGAGUGGGCUCUCUUGCCACUGCAGAGAGGGGUGCCUCCUCCCAGGAAUGGGCGGUGCCAGCCACCAGAGAAUUUCCAUCUGGGAAUGUCCCCAAAGGUACCCCGGUCUCAGGCCUUGUCUGUGUCAAGACCUGCACCUAGAGCUUCACGGGGCUCCAGUGGCAAACUUCCUUGGAGGAAUCGUUUCUGCCUCUUCUGCUCCCUUAUCCACGCAGCACUCCAGCUGGGCAUUUGUUCCCGACACGCCAGUGAAACUGCUCUCAUCUCAGUCCCCAGUGACCUCUACACGGCCAAAUGCAAUGUCAGUUUUCAGUUCAUGUUAUCUUAGAUUGCCUAUCCUCAGCAUUUGACAUAGCUGGUGAAGCCCUUGCCCUUGAAACUCUUUCUUCUCUGACCUCCAGAGCACCUCUCUCACAGGUCUGCUUCUUACUCUGCUGGCCCCUUCCCAGUCUCUUUUCCCGCUUGUGCCCCCUGACCAAUCUCUGCUCUCCAAGUGCGCCAGGGCCCAGGCCUCAGCCCUCUUCUCUCUCUGCCCUUCUCUUUGGGGUCUCACCCUAGAUGACCAGCUUUAAAAACCAUGCACAUUUGACUGGUUUCCCUAAUUUAUAUUUCUAGCCUUCCUUACUCUCUGUGGCCUCCAGUCUAGUUCAUGCUACCACCUGUUGGGUAUGCUGCCUGGGUGUCUCAUGGGCAUCUCACGAGUGACAUCCAAAGCCGAGGUCCCGAUUGUCCUCCCAAAUCUGUCCCCUCCAGCGUCUCCCCACAACUCCACCGUCCUAGUUGCUCAGGUCCAAACUUUGGAGUUAUUCUGGCUUUCUGUCUGUUUCUCACACCCACAGCCAGUCAGCAAAUCGUGUUAGCUUCACUUUCAAAAUACAUCCAGAAUUGGAGUUCCCAUUGUGGCUCAGUGGGUUAAGGACCCAACAUUGUCUCUGUGAGGAUGCGGUUUCGAUCCCUAGCCUGGCUCAGUGGGUUAAGGAUCCGGUGUUGCUGUGGCUGUGGUAUAGGUUGUUGCAGCUGCAGCUCUGAUUCGACACCUGGCCUGGGAACUGCCAUAUGCUGCUGCUGCAGCCGUAAAAAGAAAAACAAAACAAAACAAAACAAAAACCCGCUCAGAAUCGAGCUCCUCCCUGCAUUUCUGCCACAUUCUCCUUCUCCUGGAUGUUGGCAACAGCCCUUAACUGGCCUUGCUGCUUCUGCCCUGGCUUCUUAUCCAAUCUUCACACAGAAGCUAAAGAAAACCAGUCCUUCGGUCCCUACGCUGGUCAUCAGUGGCGUCCCAUCACACAGAGGAAGGAUCUGGCGUGGCCCCCUGCUGAGCUGGCCCCGGACAGGCCCCUCCGGCAGCUUCUCCCAUCUUUCCCCACUUACCGACCUUUUUACAGCCAACCUCCUUCUGUUGUGCGAACAAGCCAUGCUCUUGCUUCUCCAGCUGUUCCCUCUUUCUAGAACGCUCUUCCCCCAGAUGUUGGCAUAUUGCUAAUGCUAUUCAGACCUCAGCUCAAACAUCCCCUCUUCAGCAAGUCUCCUCUUUCUCCGACGAGCUAAUGUAAAGUAACAGCCCCUCCCCAACCCCGUUACUUGAAUUUUAUUUUACUCCAUUUUACUUUCUCCAUAUUAUGAACCAUCAUCUGGAAUGGCUGCAUUUCUUUCUUCCCUUGUGUAUUGUCUCUCUUCACCACCAGAAUGAAAGCUGCAUGGUGGCAGGAACUCGGUCCCCGGCUGCAAGCACAGAGCCCGCCACACGGUUGCCAGGCUGCCCUGGAAGGUUGUAAAGGUUGUUCACUGCAUCAGAGCUCUUGGCUGAGGGGCUGGCAGGUACUCAUAUUUAGCUUGCCCCUUGCUGUCCAUGCUGCAGGGGCAUUUAGCAAGUUGCCUUCUGCUAUUUUCCAGUGUGUGCUGUAUGGGCUGGCUGUGGCUCUGUGGUGGGCAUGUGAUAAAUAGUCAUAGACUAAAUGGCUGGCCGAUGGAUGUGCAGACCUUUGCUUGUUUUGUUCUGUGGGGCUUCAUGCAAAUUACCUUCUGAUGGCCUCAUUUUCCUCAUUUGUUAGGGGAGUAAUUACCAUCUAGCUUGGGGUACAGUUUAGGAGCAUUACAUGAACUGGUUUAUUAAAAAGCUGGUGCAAAUGUGAUUACAUUGGCGUGGCAUAUCCAGAAUAGGCAAAUCUGUAGAGACACAAAGCAGAUUUGAGGUUGCUGGAAGAUGGAGAAAUGAGGAGUGGCUGCUUGAUGAGUAGGGGGAGUCCCUUCUGCGUGAUGAAAAUGUUUAAGAACUAGCUAAGUGCGGGUUGUGCAGCAUUCGGCAUGUACGAAAUGUCACUACCUUGUGAGCUGAAAAUGACUAAUUGACUGAUAUGGUGAAUUUUUUGUUAUGUGAACCAGAUUAUGCUAUAUGAAUACUUCAAUUUAAAAACAAAUAAAAGAAACGCCAGACCCAGAGCUGAGGA